rnacentral:rRNA from 1 species
AGUGAACGCUGGCGGCGUGCUUAACACAUGCAAGUCGAACGAGUCAUGAUUAUAGCUUGCUAUAAUUGUCAGCUAAGUGGCGCACGGGUGAGUAAUGUAUAGGUAAUAUGCCUCUUACUAAGGGAUAACAAAUGGAAACGUUUGCUAAUACCUUAUACUCCUUAUUAACAGAAGUUAAUAAGGGAAAGAUUUAUUGGUAAGAGAUUAGCCUGUAUUGUAUCAGUUAGUUGGUGGGGUAAUGGCUUACAAAGACUAUGACACAUAACUGGUUUGAGAGGAGGAUCAGUCACACUGGAACUGAGACACGGUCCAGACUCCUACGGGAGGCAGCAGUGGGGAAUAUUGCACAAUGGACGAAAGUCUGAUGCAGCAACGCCGCGUGGAGGAUGACACAUUUCGGUGCGUAAACUCCUUUUAUAUGAGAAGAUAAUGACGGUAUUACGUGAAUAAGCACCGGCUAACUCCGUGCCAGCCGCCGCCGUAA